rnacentral:tRNA from 1 species
GCCGGAGUGGCGAAAUGGCAGACGCAGCAGACUCAAAAUCUGCCGUAUUCACGUACGUGUGGGUUCGACUCCCACCUCCGGCACCA